AACGAACGCUGGCGGCAUGCCUAACACAUGCAAGUCGAACGAGACCUUCGGGUCUAGUGGCGCACGGGUGCGUAACGCGUGGGAACCUGCCCUUAGGUUCGGAAUAACUCCCCGAAAGGGGUGAUAAUACCGGAUAAUGUCUUCGGACCAAAGAUUUAUCGCCUUUGGAUGGGCCCGCGUUGGAUUAGCUAGUUGGUAGGGUAAAAGCCUACCAAGGCGACGAUCCAUAGCUGGUCUGAGAGGAUGAUCAGCCACACUGGGACUGAGACACGGCCCAGACUCCUACGGGAGGCAGCAGUGGGUAAUAUUGGACAAUGGGCGAAGGCCUGAUCCAGCAAUGCCGCGUGAGUGAUGUAGGCCUUAGGGUUGUAAAGCUCUUUUACCCGGGAUGAUAAUGACAGUACCGGGAGAAUAAGCGCCGGCUAACUCCGUG
rnacentral:rRNA from 1 species